rnacentral:rRNA from 1 species
AUUGAACGCUGGCGGCAGGCCUAACACAUGCAAGUCGAACGGUAGCACAGAGAGCUUGCUCUCGGGUGACGAGUGGCGGACGGGUGAGUAAUGUCUGGGAAACUGCCCGAUGGAGGGGGAUAACUACUGGAAACGGUAGCUAAUACCGCAUAACGUCGCAAGACCAAAGUGGGGGACCUUCGGGCCUCACACCAUCGGAUGUGCCCAGAUGGGAUUAGCUAGUAGGUGGGGUAAUGGCUCACCUAGGCGACGAUCCCUAGCUGGUCUGAGAGGAUGACCAGCCACACUGGAACUGAGACACGGUCCAGACUCCUACGGGAGGCAGCAGUGGGGAAUAUUGCACAAUGGGCGCAAGCCUGAUGCAGCCAUGCCGCGUGUAUGAAGAAGGCCUUCGGGUUGUAAAGUACUUUCAGCGGGGAGGAAGGCGGUGAAGUUAAUAACACUAAGUGAGGUUGACGGUACCUUGAUAAGAAGCACCGGCUAACUACGUGCCAGCAGCCGCCGUAACAC